rnacentral:rRNA from 1 species
UACGUAGGGGGCUAGCGUUGUCCGGAAUCAUUGGGCGUAAAGCGCGCGUAGGCGGCCCGGUAAGUCCGCUCUGAAAGUCCAGGGCUCAACCCUGGAAAGCGGGUGGAUACUGCUGUGGCUAGAGUCCGGUAGGGGAGCAUGGAAUUCCUGGUGUAGCGGUGAAAUGCGCAGAUAUCAGGAAGAACACCCGUGGCGAAGGCAGCACUCUGGGACGGUACUGACGCUGAGACGCGAAAGCGUGGGGAGCGAACAGG